rnacentral:rRNA from 1 species
GACGAACGCUGGCGGCGUGCUUAGCACAUGCAAGUCGAACGGUAAGGCCCUUCGGGGUACACGAGUGGCGAACGGGUGAGUAACACGUGGGCGAUCUGCCCUGCACUUCGGGAUAAGCCUGGGAAACUGGGUCUAAUACCGGAUAGGACCACUGCCUGCAUGGGUGGUGGUGGAAAGCUUUUGCGGUGUGGGAUGGGCCCGCGGCCUAUCAGCUUGUUGGUGGGGUGAUGGCCUACCAAGGCGACGACGGGUAGCCGGCCUGAGAGGGUGACCGGCCACACUGGGACUGAGAUACGGCCCAGACUCCUACGGGAGGCAGCAGUGGGGAAUAUUGCACAAUGGGCGCAAGCCUGAUGCAGCGACGCCGCGUGAGGGAUGACGGCCUUCGGGUUGUAAACCUCUUUCAGCACCGACGAAGCGCAAGUGACGGUAGGUGCAGAAGAAGGACCGGCCAACUACGUGCCAGCAGCCGCCGUAA